GUUGGAGGCAUAGGCACCAUGAGUGCUGGUGGAGUAGGUGAUGGUGGCACCGGGAUGAGCAUGGGAGGGACAGCCACUAUUGGCCACAUGAGGAGUUCCUCUGACCAUCACUUUAGCCAGGCAGUUGGAUCUGCCUCCCCUAGCAUGGCUCGAAGUCGAAUCACAAAGUACAGUACAGUGCAAUAUACCAAGUAGUCAUGAUCCCAGAAUACAGUUCACCACUGUCUCUGUGAUUUACAUCCAACUCCUGCCCUCCAAAUCUAAGAGUGCAAUUUACGAUGCAGAGCAGGCUAUAGGAGACUGUGGAGUAAGGAAGAACCACAGUGACAGUAACACACGGUAACAUCACCGUGGAGAAGAGUGCUCCCUAGCAGUGGUAAUUUUUUUCUUAUAUUAGCACUAAGGAAAUAAUGACAGUGAACUUGAGGUACAAUCUUAUCUGUGGCUAUGUGAUCUACAGGGUUGUCUGUGUUUUUUAAUGUGUGCCCUGUAGGGUAUCACCAGCAUGUUGAAUAAAUAAAAUGUGGCUACAUAAAUGCACUGGCUUUAAGUGGCGAUUGGAAGAAUUCUUCUCGCUGUUCAGAAAUUAACCAAAACUGUUUCAAUGUGUAGCUUGAGCUCACACAGGUGAGGAAAAUCUGACAUUUCCUUCGCACGUGUCUUGUCUGUUUCACAGGUAAUACAAAUUAAAAAGCCCUCCCACAGAUUCAGGCUAAGGUUAAUAGAUUUCUAGCUACAUGGUUAUGUAUAUAACAUACCAGUUAUUCUUACUGUGGCCACACCUAAGCUCCAUUAGAUGGAAUCCUUUCCAGAUUUAUAAGUAUGUUCUAGGAGGAAAGCCCAUAGACAGGAACAAUACAGUGAGUCUCAUUUGGCACAGACUGAGCCUGGAUCUCAAGAUGUGGUUUUAGUUAAGUCUCCUGUGGAGUCGGGGACUUUCCUGGCUCCCAUGUGUUUCCUAUGUAUGACUUGAGGAACAGUGCUUACUGGGUGGAGAAGGGUAUCGUAAUCAUUUUUGCCUAUACCACUGUGGUUCAGGGGAAAGUUGUAAAUGGCAUGGCUGCCCUCACAAGUGUUAACUCUCCUCCCAAGUACAGACAAGACAGUAUUAUCUCUUCAGUAAGUCAUACCCGUUCCUGUGCAGCUCUUUAGUGAAUAAACCCAUAGUUAAGAUAAUGUACCUAAGUUGAGCUGUUGGGAAGAAGCUCGCAGUAUGGCUAAGCAUUGGGGCAAUUUUUCAAGGGGAUCUGGGGGGGGGGGCUGUUUUUAGAACAUGAAAACUGUCUUCAGUGGGAAAUGUUAGAAAAUAAUUGUUCAGUAAAGGAAAACUAUAUGAUUU
rnacentral:lncRNA from 1 species